AGAGUCUGAGUGUCUCAUUCAAAGCAGCAUGGAGAUAUUGCAAUUUGCUAAGGACUUCUUCAGUAAGGUUGGCUGCAACUUCAUCGGCGCUUGAAGUAUUAUUCAGACCUGUUGCUUCUCUAACUUCUUGUGCAAUCUUUUCUUGUAUAUCAAGAUUCUUGCACAUCAUAUAAAUAAACCAUGAAAGAGCAGAAGCAGUUGUGUCUUUGCCGGCAGCAAUAAAACUGAGGACCAUGUCUCUCAAGUACUUUGGAUCAGUCUCUUUAGCUUCCAAAAGUUUGGAGAUGAAGUCUCUUCUCUUUAACUGCAAUUUAACAUCAACAUAUAUCAAUACGUUGAUCAAUUAAUACUGUGUCGAUUCAAUCUAGAAUAGAAAGGAAGGUAACUCACAAGUUGCUCAUCUUCUUCUGAUUUAUGGAGUGUUUCAAUCUUUCUGUUGAUUAAAUUGUAUAUGAAGUUAUGCAUCACUAUUAUAUUUUUGCUUAUAACUGCUUCCGUACCAAUGUUCAAAAACCGUUUGAUCUUCCAGAAGAUAUCAGCAACACGAUAAAGGGUAGCGCUGCUUGCAUCAUCAAAAGCAUCGGAAAAUCGGAUACCUUCUUCAUUUCCAGACAUGGUAUCUAGAUCGAUACCAAGUAGAAUCGUGACGAUUGCAUCCAAGGUUGAUUUCAUAAACAAAACCUGCCAACAGAACGAAGAUCAAUUAAUUAAUCCAUUUUCAAGAAAACCAGAAAAUAUAUGUAGUGUAUAUAUGAAUUUUAAAGACAUUGCAAACUCACUUGCAUCUCUAUUGGUUUGUCGCCGGCUGCAGCUUCAUGAAUUAUGCAACAAAGUUUUACUGCAGUGGUCUUGAUGAUGUCACUGCUGAAGUCCCUAAGUACUUUAGUUGAGAAUUGAGAACUUGAUGCCUUCCUCUGAUGCCGCCACUUUUCCCCGUCCACAGCGAAGAUCCCAUCUCCCAUAGAAUCUGUUAUAAGGUUGUACACGUACGACCCCUAUAGAAAUCGUGUAAUACUUGGUAAGUUGGUAGCAACAAAUAAAAGGAAGGCAAAAUGAAUCAUCAUAGAAUCGUUACGUACGUAGUAAUAACUUUUUGUUUGAAUAAACCUUGGACUUAUCUAAUUAAUCUUUCAGUUAUUUGAUAAUAUAUAGGAUACCAUAUUUAUAUGUACGUACCUUGCCAUAGUUUCCAAAGUUGGUUUUGAGUAUGUGUUCAACAUUUGCAGGAUCUGCAGUGUACACUGCAUAUUUGAACAAGUCAAGUAUCCUGUAAGUUUUGUGUUUGCUUGCAAGCUCAGUGUGGUAAUGGUGAAGCGUGCGACGGUGGGAUAGUUGGUGCAAGACAGUUCCGACAACAGGUGGGUAUCUCUUGUUCUUCUCCGGCCAGAAAAUCGAUGCUAAAAGAAUCACUACUGCUAAACUUAUCACUGCGGGAGGCAAAGCAGUGAUAAGAAAAUCCAUGAUGGUAUUGAAUAUUGAAGGACCGAUCGAUGAUGAAGUUAGAACGAGAUAUAUAUAUAUAUAUAUAUAUAUAUAUAUAUAUGAUCGAUCAAAUGGGACGUAUAGACUGCAUGGGAAGAGUUAUGAGUACUCGUCAACUGCCACUGUAUCAACUUAUUACAGAAAAAAACAUCCAGGCUCCACUCCAUUAAAAGAGGAGGCAGCUAACUAAUAGUUAGUGAUCGAAUUUUUUGUUUUUGUUUUUUUUGUUAGUGAUCGAAUAUUGUAUGUGUGUGUGUGUGUAUCAAACGGAAGUACGUACAGUUGGAUUUUUACAGUGACAGAUUCUCGGUCUUAAGUAGUUGGGUUAUUAUUAUUAGCCUCGAUCUCAUUCAUUAUGUAAUGGUGAAGCCUGGGAGCGUUGAUGCGUGGAUGAGUCGUUGGUAUAAGCUAGACAAGUAAUUCAUCUAUCUACUGGGGAUGGUUAGUUGUUGUAUCACAUACAAGUACGUAGUAGUUGUUCUUCAUGCGUAAAGACAUAUCUGUGCUAAAAGGAUUACAACGAAACGAAAAGAAAAACACACAAGUUGCAGACAUGUCUAAUAAUCUCCGGUGCCACAACAAAGACGGGACAUGGAAUUUAGGGUUAAUCCGGCCAAGUGUACGUCUUCGAUCUUUGGUGCAUUGAUUCCUCUCAUGAUCAUAUGAAAUGGUGUAGCCUGGGAGCGUUGAUAGAUCCAUCAGUUAGUGCUGGGCAGUUCCGAUCGACAAGCUAUUACGUACAGGGAGAUAGGAGGUAGCUCUUGUCCUUGUCCCAGAAUUACAUUGAAACGUAACUAUUUCCUAAUCUGAUGAAGCCACAACGAAGAAGGGAGAAGAGAGCAACAUGCAUCGAUCAUCAUGAUACAAUUGUAUCGUCACCGUCGACGUUCCCAAUUUGGUAUUAAGCAUCUUACGUACGUAUCAAUCCAUUAAAGCAUACCAAUAAACUAAUAGCAUAUCCCGGCCAACCGCGGCUGCCAAUAAAAUUGAGGACAUGAACACUUACAAAAAAAAAAAAAAAAAUACGUUUGCAUAUUCUUAUAUCUUAUCCCGGCUGAUUUAGACGGGUUAAAAUCGAAUUCACUUUAGAACUUGCAAGCUGCUCAAUUGGCCUAGCUCUAGCUAAAUAUAUAGAACUUUCAAUCACAAGGUUUUAUGCAGAUUAGGGUGAAACAUAGUAGUAGGGUGACAAUAAUCCACCUUGUUACAAUUUGUGUUGUUGUGAACCAUGAUUUGGUAAUCUCCAAUACUCAUCGACUACAAGUUCCUUUCGUUUUCGUUUCUAUUUUUGGCAACAUAAAUUUUAUUGAAUGUAGAGAGAUCAACAUAUCAAAAGAAAGGGAGGGACGUACAUGAGAUAAACAUCAGCUACAAGUUCUUGAUAUACCAAAGAAACACGGAAACAAAACUGCUUGCUUAAAGAAGAUCCAGGGCUAGCCAUUAUUAUUGAUCGAUUUCCAAAAGAAGCAAACAAUGAUGCACUUCCUACCUACUACAAGAAAUGACAUUGAUGAUGGGCGACCAAACUAACCAUCUUGCGUGCUCAAACUCUUGGAGAGGCUUUAAUAUGAAGGCCUCCAUCGAUAUGGAGGGUGACCAUGGUCUUAUAAUUGACAACUUUCUUCUCAUCAUUGAGCUUGAAGAUGUAGCUACUUAUAAGUAUAGCAGAAAAGAUCUUCAACUGAAUGUAACUGUACUCUUUUCCUAAACAAAUUCUUGGACUAGCCUGCGUUAUAGAAAACGGUCAUCAGUACGACAACAUUCAAUCCAUAAGAUCAACAAUUUACUUGUUUUUAUAAUUACAUUGAAGGCUAUGAAUUUGAAAGGGCUUUCUUCUUGAAAAUUGCCAUUUUCGUCAAGCCAUCUUUCUGGACGAAACUCUUCGGCAUCAUCACCCCAUAUAAACUUCAUCCUGCCCAUUGAGUAAGGUUGGUAUACUACCAGUACGUUCUCCUUUUUUGACACUAAAUCCAUCUGGCCAUGUAUCAUUAGAGAAGCAAACCCUCGCAUCCUGUAAACAAUAAAGUAUAUAACAAAUAACAUUAAUUAAGCUUGUUAACCUAACUAAGAAGUAAUGCAAAACAAAUAUUUCAAAUCACUUGCAGCAUCCUAUUAAUAGAAUCUUAACAUUGCAAUUAUGCACAUCAUAUGUUAAGUUACCAAUGGAACAGUAGGAUAGAGUCUGAGUAUUCAGUCAAAGCUGCAUGGAGAUAUUGCAUUUUGCCUAGGGCUUCUUCAGUAAGGUUGGCUGCAACUUCAUCGGCACUUGAAGUACUAUUCAGACCUGUUGCUUCUCUAACUUCCUGCGCAAUCUUUUCUUGUAUGUCGAGAUUAUUGCACAUCAUAUAGAAAAACCAUGAAAGAGCAGAAGCAGUUGUGUCUUUG
rnacentral:lncRNA from 1 species